GAUAAACGCUGGCGACGUGCUUCAGGCAUGCAAGUCGAACGGGUGCUAGCUUUCGGGCUAGUACUAGUGGCGGACGGGUGAGUAACACGUAAGCAAUCUGCCCGGUAGUGGGGAAUAACUAGCCGAAAGGCUGGCUAAUACCGCAUGUGAUGGUUUGUCUUUGGAUGGAUCAUGAAAGGCGUAAGUCGCUACCGGAGGAGCUUGCGGCCGAUUAGCUAGUUGGUGAGGAAUGGCCCACCAAGGCAACGAUCGGUAGCUGGUCUGAGAGGACGGUCAGCCACACGGGGACUGAGAUACGGCCCCGAC
rnacentral:rRNA from 1 species